rnacentral:lncRNA from 1 species
AGAAUUGAGAAUUUGAGACACGUGUCAUUGGUGGUUAAUUCCUAAAUGCUCUCGAUCGAUGGAUCAUCACGGAGACGGUGAUUGAUCCGGUGAGAUUGGUGAUAGGCGCUUCUCUUUUUGGAUAGACGAGUCUCAAGUCGACAGUGUGGGGACAUUGAAGCGAAAAUACAGGUCGUUAUUAGAGAAUAAGGAUACCGAGUGUGA